rnacentral:rRNA from 1 species
UACGUAGGGGGCAAGCGUUGUCCGGAUUUACUGGGCGUAAAGAGCGUGUAGGCGGCCAAGCAGGUCCGUUGUGAAAACUAGAGGCUUAACCUCCAGACGUCGACGGAAACCGCGUGGCUAGAGUCCGGAAGAGGAGAGUGGAAUUCCUGGUGUAGCGGUGAAAUGCGCAGAUAUCAGGAAGAACACCAAUGGCGAAGGCAGCUCUCUGGGACGGUACUGACGCUGAGACGCGAAAGCGUGGGGAGCGAACAGG